ensembl:lncRNA
UGAUCUGUGAUUUGCUGAAAUUCAGCACAGGUGUUUUGUUUGUUUUGCAUUUGCAGAAGUGUAUUCAGGAAAUUAUACUUGCUACAGAACUUUUCUAAUGCUGAGCCUAGGGUUCUUCCCUUCUCUGCCUUUGCCUGCUCCUCAGCAAGCACAAGUACAGUAGCCAAAGGGGAAUUAGCUGAGCUACCAAACUACAGCCCACAACAGACAGCGGUGGGCAGAUUGAGAACACCUGAUCUUCCCAAAUUGACACUAGGAUCACAGAUGGCAUCAAUGUCUGGGUCUUAUGAAACGAUUAGGACUGUUUCACACAAUUUGGUGUGCUUAUAGGAGCUGCAUUCUUCCAAAGUCCCCAGCAAU